rnacentral:misc_RNA from 1 species
AAUUAAAUCAAGCCUUUACUUUUGUAAAGGUUUGGACUAUGGGGGUUUUGCAGGUUUUGUGUUAAAAAUCUGCUCCUCUUAAAAGCAUUAGCGGAAACCAUUGUGGAAAAGUUUCCUGGUGUGAUAAUUAUCUACGCCACACUUUCUUCACUUGAAAGGUUUUGCUUCUAACUGUUGUGUCGGCAACAACUCUGAACA